GAUGAACGCUGGCGGCGUGCCUAAUACAUGCAAGUCGAGCGAACAGACGAGGAGCUUGCUCCUCUGACGUUAGCGGCGGACGGGUGAGUAACACGUGGAUAACCUACCUAUAAGACUGGGAUAACUUCGGGAAACCGGAGCUAAUACCGGAUAAUAUAUUGAACCGCAUGGUUCAAUAGUGAAAGACGGUUUUGCUGUCACUUAUAGAUGGAUCCGCGCCGCAUUAGCUAGUUGGUAAGGUAACGGCUUACCAAGGCGACGAUGCGUAGCCGACCUGAGAGUGUGAUCGGCCACACUGGAACUGAGACACGGUCCAGACUCCUACGGGAGGCAGCAGUAGGGAAUCUUCCGCAAAGGGCGAAAGCCUGACGGAGCAACGCCGCGUGAGUGAUGAAGGUCUUCGGAUCGUAAAACUCUGUUAUUAGGGAAGAACAAAUGUGUAAGUAACUAUGCACGUCUUGACGGUACCUAAUCAGAAAGCCACGGCUAACUACGUG
rnacentral:rRNA from 1 species